rnacentral:rRNA from 1 species
UACAGAGGGGGCUAGCGUUGUUCGGAAUUACUGGGCGUAAAGCGCGUGUAGGCGGCUUUGCAAGUCGGAUGUGAAAUCCCACGGCUCAACCGUGGAAGUGCAUCCGAAACUGCAUCGCUUGAGUCUCGGAGAGGAAGGUGGAAUGCUUGGUGUAGAGGUGAAAUUCGUAGAUAUCAAGCAGAACACCUGCGGCGAAGGCGGCCUUCUGGACGAUGACUGACGCUGAGACGCGAAAGCGUGGGGAGCAAACAGG